rnacentral:rRNA from 1 species
GAUGAACGCUGGCGGCGUGCCUAAUACAUGCAAGUCGAGCGGAAGGACGAGAAGCUUUUUUCCCUGAUGUUAGCGGCGGACGGGUGAGUAACGCGUGGAUCACAUUCUUAUAAGACUGGGAUAACUACGGGAAACCGCAGCUACUAAUGGAUGAUAUUUUCAACCGCAGGGUUCAAAAGUUCAUGACGGUCUUGCCGUCACAAAUAGCUGGUUUCGCGCUGCCUUAGCUAGUUGGUAAGGUAGCGGCACACCAAGGCAACGAUGCCUAGCCGACCUGAGAGGAUGAUCGGCCACACUGGAACUGAGACACGGUCCAGACUCCUACGGGAGGCAGCAGUAGGGAAUCUUCCGCAAUGGGCGAAAGCCUGACGCAGCAACACCGCGUGAGUGAUGAAGGUCUUCGGGUCGUAAAGCUCUGUUAUUAGGAAAGAACAGAUGCGUAAGGAACCGUGCACAUCUUGACGGUACCUAAUCAGAAAGCCACGGCUAACUUCGUG